rnacentral:rRNA from 1 species
AUGAACGCUGGCGGCGUGCCUAAUACAUGCAAGUCGAGCGAACGGACGAGAAGCUUGCUUUUCUGAUGUUAGCGGCGGACGGGUGAGUAACACGUGGAUAACCUACCUAUAAGACUGGGAUAACUUCGGGAAACCGGAGCUAAUACCGGAUAAUAUUUUGAACCGCAUGGUUCAAAAGUGAAAGACGGUCUUGCUGUCACUUAUAGAUGGAUCCGCGCUGCAUUAGCUAGUUGGUAAGGUAACGGCUUACCAAGGCAACGAUGCAUAGCCGACCUGAGAGGGUGAUCGGCCACACUGGAACUGAGACACGGUCCAGACUCCUACGGGAGGCAGCAGUAGGGAACCUUCCGCAAUGGGCGAAAGCCUGACGGAGCAACGCCGCGUGAGUGAUGAAGGUCUUCGGAUCGUAAAACUCUGUUAUUAGGGAAGAACAUAUGUGUAAGUAACUGUGCACAUCUUGACGGUACCUAAUCAGAAAGCCACGGCUAACUACGUG